rnacentral:tRNA from 1 species
GCCUUCCUGGUGUAAUGGUCAGCACACUCGGUGCGUAUUCGAGAGGUCCGAGGUUCGAGUCCCGGUGAGAGCG